rnacentral:rRNA from 1 species
CCUACGGGUGGCAGCAGUGGGGGAUAUUGCACAAUGGGGGAAACCCUGAUGCAGCGACGCCGCGUGGGUGAAGAAGCGCCUCGGCGCGUAAAGCCCUGUCAGCAGGGAAGAAAAUGACGGUACCUGAAGAAGACGCCCCGGCUAACUCCGUGCCAGCAGCCGCGGUAAUACGUAGGGGGCAAGCGUUAUCCGGAUUUACUGGGUGUAAAGGGGGCGCAGACGGCGAUGCAAGCCAGGAGUGAAAGCCCGGGGCCCAACCCCGGGACUGCUCUUGGAACUGCGUGGCUAGAGUGCAGGAGGGGCAGGCGGAAGUCCUGGUGUAGCGGUGAAAUGCGUAGAUAUCAGGAGGAACACCGGUGGCGAAGGCGGCCUGCUGGACUGCAACUGACGUUGAGGCCCGAAAGCGUGGGGAGCAAACAGGAUUAGAUACCCCAGUAGUC